CCUUUUGUUCUGCUCAUGACAGUUCUCACUUUCACUCCUCAGUUUGUGUUUUUCCAUCCAGAGUUAAGUCGUGCAAAAACCGAUCUUUUUCAAAGGAGCAAGCCUCCGGAUUACAUUCCGUCGGAGAAAAUUUCGGCCAAUUUAUAAAAAGCUCCCCUGAUGAAGGAUUUGUUUGCAGUGUCCGGGCGUCAUCUUUGGGGACCAGCGAUGAUCGUGAUAACGAGAAGUAGGUUCUGGAAGCAAGGCGGCGGCAGGCGGCACCCGGACCAACAAGGUCACGAUGGCACCCUGCCCAUAAGUUGGCAGCUGACAGCUGCCGGAAGAAUUUACAUCCCAAAGUGAAAAGUGCGCAAUAAGAAGUGUAAUGUUUAUGUGUUGUGAAAAAUAAAUAUUGAAAAUUA